ensembl:lncRNA
CAACAGAAUGCAACGCUGGGGAGAGGCAGUGGGUUAUUUAUAUAUGUCUCUAGGUGAUUUGCUCUUGAGUUGAUCAGGUGGAAGCUGACUUCUUGUGACAGCCUCUUAAUAUGGCAGCACUCAGACAUCAGGCAAUGGACUGACCACGUGCAAACAGGACCACGCUGCCAGCAAGGACUCCCUAUUUCACUCCGUCAUUUCUCCCAAGCUCUCGUUUAGUCUCCUGUUGUCGCUGUUCUACUCCACGGUUAUUUUUAUUUUAGUUAUUUAUACACAGGAGGUAUCGUAAAAUGACUAUUGUACCACAAGCAAGAAACAAAAAAGGAAAAUAUUACCAGCAAUGCACGUGGUAUAUUUCCUCUUUCUUUACCUCUCAUAUUAUUCAACUCUCUCUCUUAUUACAUGUUAUUUCAUGUAAAGAAAUAACAUUAAAUGAACAAGCCUCCCCACAGAGACAUUGACACGUUGGGUGCAGAGAGACAUCCAUGAACACGGAACCUGGCCACCGUCAGAAAAAAACUUUUGUUGUGCCUUUCGCAUUCGCAUUCACGAUGCAGACGCAACAUUUGCGCCGCCGCUCAGAUCUGUCGUCAACUUUCAUUUGGCUCUGGCAGUUUUCUGUGCUCAGUGAUGCCUUGUGGGACGAUUUGAUCAGGCAGGUCGGACAAAAGCAAUGCAAAAUGCAGGCAUUCAAAAUAAAACCUGUAACAUCCUUUAGAUAAUACCUUGUCCUGCCCUAAUAUUACCUUAUUCCAUCUUUUCGUAUCUGAUCCUCUUAGAUGCUCUUUGUACUUCAGUGCGUUGCAGGCCAAUGGGCGGCUCGCCCAUUUAGCUUCUGUGGCAGGAGCCCACAGCACCAUCAGAAAGAGAGGGCUCAAUUGAUGGGAUUAGUUGGCUGAGCUCAAAUUCAAUUUCAAAUUCCAGGAGGACCCUCAACGUCUAAGCCAACAUUUCACUGGAGAUGAGCAGCGAACAAGUUUUCAUCAAAGUCAUCUGCAAAACGUAUUGUAUUAUUUAAUCUGUAUGUUACAUGCGAGGGUAAUUGUUGUCUUUCAGUACCUUCAAAACAUUUACAGAUGUUCGCGACAUUGCCUCCGGCUUUCCUUUCAGAAGGAACUCAAAUCAGUGUUGAAGCCUCUCAGAAUGUUGACAGCGCUCCAAGAAACACAUUAACAUGCAGUUGUGUAAAAUUCAAAUAAAGUGCUGUGAAUGUUUUCCAUGUGUCCGUCGUAACGUUUGACGAGAAAUGAAUUGGCCCGGUUGGGUGGAAGUGAAGUACUCAGUGAAAAUGGAAGUAGAUGUGAAUUGUUUGUGAAAGAGGAGGGACAGAGAAGGGAAGGAGCAGAGAGCACGCUGUCAGCAUGGAGGACUACUCCACCUUUUCAUCUCCCCAUGUUUAGGCUGAAGGUGGUGGAUCCUCAGGCAGUGCUGGUCACCAAGACAUAACUUCCACUGGGAACCAUUUCAUCUGCCUUUGUUUGCCAUCGUUGGAAACCACUUCUAAACAAAUUAAAAGUAGGGAGCAAAACAGAAAUGCUAACCUGUGUUGGUAAAGGUUUUGUUCAUUACUGGCAUAGAUAAAUAUUGCUGUAACACCAAGAACGUAGUUAUCCUAAAGUAGUUUAUUGUGUGCAAAUCAAUACUUGGCAAACCGACAACGCAUUAAGGGGUGGGAAAUUGCACAAUGAUUAGCUAAAACCUUUCCGCAGAUUCAGAUACUUCUCUGUUAGAAGUGCCAUUACUGUCUGCAUUUCAUACAACUCAAGAAAAAGUAUUUUCCGCAAAAAUAAGAGUGUGGCGGCUUGACCCACACUCGGUUCUCUGUCACUUACACAAUGAAACAUUAACAUUAACGCCUUGAAGGGUAUAUCGCAAUUCAUUUAAUCUAGUGGCCAUUAUACUUGCAAACAAUGUGCUUGUUUAUCAUAACAGCCAAGGAUGCCCUGGACAGACAAGCUUGUUUAUGUCUCCUUGUCUUUGGCUGAGUGUCCUCACUUGAUAAAUAUCCCAUUAACUCCUCUGUUCCACUUAGCAGUCGGGCCAUGUGGGACUCCACUGUGACCACACACACACACACACACACACACACACACAGUUUUGCAUGCUCAUGUUCAUCUAAAUGGUCUUGUCAAGUCUUGCACACACAGGGCAGUGACACAAAAAAGCCUUGUUACCGAUCUCUCUCCAUUUCUUACCCCCACAAACACACAAAUGCACACUUGUUGAUAAACUGUAUAUUUUUGGUGUCCUCGUGGGACUGCUGUGUCACCUAGUUUGCAGGAUUAUGUAUCACCUCCAUCGACGCAGGUCUCCUUACAAGUUUGCAAAGUCCUCUUUACUCCCGCCCCCCCACACUGACACCGCUUUGCUUGCUAAAUUAGUAUAGAGAACAUUUUAAAAAGCCCUCUGUGAGCUGUCAACACAAUGCUUCAGCCAUUCAUCCUCCAUGCCACGCAGGAUUUAGGAAAAAGAGGAGGACGUAAUUCACGAGAGCAAAUCAAAUUCGGCAGCCGCAGGUCUCUCAAUUUGUAUUUAUUGCGUCCUUCUCGGCUUCAUUGGACUUUCCAGAUCCCUCCAACGAAGGAGGGAAGAUAAAAAACGUUAUUCCUUCAAGAGAAUGUUUGUCGAAUGUUGAAUGUUUUAAAAUGUUGAUGCUUCAGAUAUAAAAAUGAUGAUAAUGGAAAGAGCAACACAUGUCACACCUGGUUAAUUCUAUGGUAACUUGUGAAAAAAGGUGAAAAAAAUGUCAACCCUCAGCCAGACACACAUGCUCAGUUUAGAAAAGGCAUUUUUAUACCCAUGCAUGUACCUAAUAUGGCCACUCCACAAACCAUUUGGUGUGUGUGGCCUGCGGCGCUGCCUGCUGUUUCAUGAAAUGUAAAUCUUCUGUACCAUUCAAUCAGUAGUCAUUUUACUUUCUCCUCCCGGAGGCAUUUCUUGGUGUGAUAUUACGGCGCGUAAUCAGUUAAAACGAAGUCGCAUUGAUAGAAUUUAAUACAAACUGCAGAGGAGUUUGGCUGCUUAUGCAACGGUAAAAUCUCUGCUGAGAUCACGUGACCACGACUUCUCACUUCAGGGCUCCUCGUGAACGGAGAACAGAAAGUAUAGAAGACAGCACUCCGACGCUGAUAUAAGGGAUGAAACAUUUCGUAUUCUGGAGAUGCACCGUCGUAGGAGAGAGAGGUGUCGUGGACUGCAUAGAUGCACAGUUCACACACACACACACAGUUCACACACACACACACACACAUGCACACACUGUGCCGGAGAAAAUGAAAAUGAAAAAUGCACGGACGGUCCUUCAGAUCUUCGACUAUGCUGGCGCCUGCACUGCCGAUGUGACUGUGGAGAAAAAGCGCACACAAGCCUUGUCCUCGUGUGAGGACGGACGUCGCGGUGAGAACAAGUGGUACGGCACGUGUUUUCCAUCGGGCUGCCAUCUGUAAGGUCAUCCCACCGGUAGUCUGUCGUCUUGGGCGGAUCACGAGACUCUCAGUUCACCCCGAAUAAAAGAGAUUUUAAAUAUUGGGCUGUGGGACGUGUAGUCUUUUCAGCUGGCUCUGAUAAACACAUGAAAUAUGUUUUUAAUUAAGUUAUUACAGUAAAGCAAAGCCAUAUUCAUUAUCGGUUGUUUGCCGACUUCAUUAACAUGAUCUCAUUGGUGGUGUAGUUUUUCCUCUGCCCCGGACAUCUCGUAGAGUUUCCUUGUCAGCAGGCGAACAGGUUUGCAUAAAAUACCGUCAGCCUCAGACACAUAAAGUAUUCCCUCCACAGAAAACAAACAUGAACCAGGCAAUGCUACUCCCACUCUGCACCCGGCGCAAACUAGUCACAUGUCUCUAAUUCAGUGGAGUCUUGGGAGCAUUAGAAAUAAAUUGGAGUCAUUUUUCAACUUGCACAGGCUUUGUGUCAGAGAGAGUCGAUAGUCGGCUAAAUACACGGUGUUAGAAGUCCGGCUCUGGUGCUGUAGGUUUGGCUGCAGGCCAUUAUCGGAGGCCUCAUGCGACACAGAUCUAUCGGCAUCUGUACCUUAGGUGGAGAUUAGUUCUGAGAGCGAAGGAGCCUGCGAACGCUGGGGAGAAAGAGGUAACAAGACCUCUCCGCUGUGUCUGCGAGGAGGGAAGGAGUAAUUGUGCUGAGAGGUUGUCGUUAGGGCCCUUCACCUCAGCAUCUACCCGGACUGGAACAAACAAUUGUCAAAGGGUAGUUAUAGUUAUACAUAACUGAAAAUCAGUCAACUAGUUGAAUUCACUUUAACCCAAAGUAUAACCCCAAAUUAAAAGUAAACCACUAAAGUAGUCUUGUAAAACUGGAAACGAAAGGCAAAUAGAACUAUUUUCCAAGUCUAGGCUUGAUGAAGUCUUCAAAUAGUUGACGAUUUCAACAAAAUGUAAUGAAAAAACUUUACUAUUGUGAAGUAACUUUAUUACAAUACAGUUCUCCAGUGAUCUGAAUGUAACAAACACGUCAUUUACUAAAAAAGAGGACCUGAGUGACAAGAAUUGAAUACAAAAAUGCCUUAAUCUGAUACCGAAAUAAACUAAACUGAAUAACCCAAAUAAACCUAAUGAAAAGUAAUAUUCUGGGGGCAUUAGAUUGCAUCGGUAUAUUAGAAAAACAGCAUUUUUCUACAUUUCAGUAGUUAUAAAGAAAAUCUCAUAUCGCAAGGUCAGGUCCGGUAUUCAGGUCUCUUCUGAGCCAACUACACUGCAAGUUUUAACAGAAAUAAAAUAAACUUCAAUAGAUAUAACUACAACUUUAACAUUUUUGCCUUUUAAAAACAUUUUAAAGUUGUAUAGACACUAUGAACACAGUGUUAGGGCGACUACAUAGCUUUGUUUCCAGCUGUCUUCCAGAUGUUGUUGGUAUUUUGUUAUGCAGCUGGUCUUUCUCUUUUUUGUGGCGGGUUCAGUGAUUCGAGGUCGCCACUGGUCGACGACCUCGAAUCCCAAUCUGAGUCCGAUUUCGGAGAGAGAUUUAGCAUGAAACCAGGAUCAAUGGAGGACAUUUAAGGUCACUGCAUGUUACUUCAUCUUUGUCUAAUAAGGAUUUGUUUAACCGCCAAAGAAAUAAAUGUAAUUAAACUCCACGGACAGACUCUGCUGGUAAUGUUAGCAAGACUGGUGAUCAUUUUCUCUCGAGUCAUUAAUAAGCGAGCUUAUGACCAAUCAUGUGUCAACUACACUUUAGUGGGUCGCCUUAUUGGAUCAAUAAUCACAUAUAAUUGCAGGCUGUGUUGGCGCGCUUUCUUCCAUGAAUUACAGUACAUGCUAAAAAGUCUCACACGAUGUGACAGAAAAAGACAAAACUCUUCAAAGCGCCGUUCCAAAUAGAUGCACGGCGGAGGACGUCUCUCUAUUGUCACGAGGAUGACAUGCACAGCUGCAGCUUAAGGUGUCCGCUUGUACAAAUCCUACAGUGAAUCUUUUUACAGUGCUGGUAGAGGAAAUAGAAAUGAUCAUAGCAUAACACACCCACGGAAAAAUCAAAACGCCACAGUGGGAUAAAAGCGAAGAGAGAGGUUUGAGAUUUGUGGGUUAUAUCGUUGUGCGCGGCCCCAGAGAGGAGUGGAGGAGAGUGGGAGGACUGAUUGUCUUUGUAGAGGCUCAUAAAGUGCAGGGUAAUUAGUGCUAAUCAUGCCGUGCUGUCACCUAGGCAGCUGUGAUUAUCUGACUUCUAUUGUUGCCGCCGCUAUCGUCCUCACUCCUUUGUUCACGAGUGUGACAGGACAGCUCGUCUCUUCACCCGUCUCUCCGUCUUUGUUGCUUUCCGACCAACAACGUGUCAACAAAGUCGCCGUGUACGGUCAAUCCUUUGCAUAAACCACCACUCAAGGUGUUGACGUCUGUUCCCUAGUGACCAACUGUCACAAUCUACCUGUGCGAAUUAGCACAGAUGAACAGACCCCCCCCCCAACAAAUAACAAUAAAAACAAUACAGAAGAGGCCCUUCAUCCAUUUAUCCUCACUGCAUUCUGACAGCGACGCUGCAGUCAGGGCUUUGUGCCGCAGAACUGUCCAAGGUGCUGGAUUAUACUCCCUCUGACUAAUGCAGCCUGUGCGCCGGGAUGAAUACGCAAUAACAGCUUCAUAAAUGACACGACUAACAACAACAUAAGCUGGUGUUUAGAGAAUAUGUUGAUUUAGAUCACUCUCAACAAUCAGUCAAAUCCAGCAGGGGAUGCGCGGUUUGCAGCUGUCAAGGGUGUGAAAGUAUGAAGCGUUCAGUUUUAACAUCUCAUUUUCAUGUGUUUCAUUAUUUGUACGGAUUCAUAAAUGGUAUCUGCCUGUUACGUGUGCAGCCCAUACAUUAGGAAGAUUCCUCGCGGUUGCGUGUGAUCUUUCGUUAAUCUUGUCUUGCAUGUGCGCGGCUGUGUGGGUGUGUUGGUGUUAUGUUCCUCUUAGCAUCUUUUACAAAAGGCUUGUUAAUUUCAACCUUCUAUUAUAGUUAUCAUCCUUUAUGUGAAAUGAAAACUUCAGGGUCGGGCUCAUUAUUAGGCCACUCUGAUGAGCGCUGCUGUGUUGGACGAUGCUGUCCAGGGACGGAAGUAAUACAUGAAUGAGAGGUGAAGUAAUCUUUGUGCUUUGCUCUGUAUUUACAGCAGGAGCCCCACAUCCCUGCUACCACCUAAACUUUCUUAGACCUGCUUUCAUGAACUCACAGUCAGGUUUAACCCACGUGCACUUUAAUUCGAGGUUACAGGCAUUGAGUUAAAGGGGACGUGUUCCCUGCAUGUCUUAAAGUGUUGUGCACCGGCGUGAUUGAUAAGCUCACCCUCACGCUCCCUCUGGCAAACACACCUGAGCCCCAGACAUGUGAAACCGGCGGCUCCUUUUGUUCCUCUCCUCCAGGUAGUGAGCCACAAUCUGGAGACAAUAGGUUUAGUGGGAUUAUAAAGGGCGUCAAAGGAGUUUCCAUGGAUCACAAAGCUCACAACCAAUCCACGGACAGCUCUCUGCUUCCUGUAACAACGCGCCGAUCGUUCACCUCGUCUGGUCGGAGUAAGCAGCCGGGGGAGCUGGGGACCUACGCGCAGGGUCAGGAAGACGGUCCGGGUCAAUGUUCUGGAGCCCUGAACAGAAAACCCAAUUAUCUCAGCAUUUCAGUCCAGCCUAAUUAGGCUUGACUGAUGUGCUGCGGAUUCAUUGUGUCUCUAAUUAAGUGCCUAUCAGCGCCAGAGAAGUAAUGUCUUUAUGGUACAUCAAAACCAAGCUGCACUCUGCUGACAUGAUUGAAAAACUAUCCUUUGGCAAUCUUCCGGAGUGGGGAGGGGGGGUCGCGUGGAGGUUGUUGUGUCUUUCAUCUUGUGGGCUGCCAGGGACAGAAUGUGUCGUGGAUUUGAGAUGGAGGUCUUUCUCAACCACCAGGAGAAACUAAAGACAGAGUAUGACAUCUUGAAGGAGUAGAAUUGAUGUUUUCUAUAUCAGUAAAGGAUAUGGGCUUCUAAUCUAAAACACCAAAUGUAUUAAUGUUGGAAAAUGUGCAGGUGCAAGGACUGCAUUUAGAUUAUCACAUGAUAUCUGCACAUACAACAUGAAUACAGAUCUAAUUAUUGGUCCUUCAGAAUAGACUGACUACAGAUGAACUACUUUUAAUAAUUUUGCAUAUUUUUCAGCUUUAUUUUGAAGAAGUACUCUUAAAAUGGGAUACUUCACACAAAAAUAGUUCUAGAGUUGAUUCAAGGACAAACACAGAGUACGUGGACUUGCAAUGCCGUCUUGACCUGGAGGAAAGUUUCCCAACCUUCGGGUAUUCUCUUUGAAACAUUGCCUUGGUGAUGCCAAUUCAUAAACAGUGCAUUCAUGCAUCAACGGGAACGGCUCGGCAAAGCUGCAAAGAAUGUUCUGCACACAGACACCAGGAAACACGUCCCAACCACUCUAACAAAGUGGCACAGAUAGUCUGGCUUUUGACCUUAAUCGACAUCAUGAAUGUAUGUCCCACUCCACAGAAAACCAAAAUAGAGCACUGUGAUUUUUUUUAAGGCAACAACAUUUAUGAAGAAUACAUGUGAUAACCAGCCACAUUGCAGUAGAGUCUAGAGAUUAUAAAACAAAAACAGAUAACGUAGCAGUUUGUCUCUUUUAUUUUCUUACUUUCAUUAUUAUUAUUUCUUACAGCCGGACUUUGCAUUCACACAUUUUCAGUUUCCAAGAGUUGAAAUAAAUUAACACAUGAAGACAUUUUUCAAAGCCAAAAGGUUAUAAAUAUAAUAAAAGAUUAUAUUUCUUAUACAUAUUAAUCCACAACGUUUUUCCUAUCAUAAAUAAUUCAUUGUGUUAAUGCAAAGAGGUUAAAUAGACCUUUAUAUUUCUUUCAGUCUUUGGAGAAAAGGGGCAUAAUUUUGCUCAUGUAUAUUUAGUACGAUUGAAUGAAUAGCAUUACUUUAAUUAAUUAUUAAUUUGACUCACUGAAAUGAAACAUCCGUAGCGUAGAAUAUUCAGUAACCCAAUAUAUACGCAUUAUGGGAUAAGUUUGUAUGUUUAUUGAUUAGAAUUUUGAUAUUUAAUGACUUAAGGAAGUGCCUUCGAGUUUUCAUUCAUAGUAAAAUGAUUAGUUUUCCAUUUAGAUUUAAUCAGAACAUGGGAUUAGAAAUGCAUUCGGGUACAUCGUUUUGUUAAAAACAAGCUGCUACGUUUGAAAGGAACGAGAGGAGCCGAUGUGAUCGGCCAUCGCGGAAGUUAUUCGACACCAGAACCAUGUUCCCCCCCAAAGUUCAUUCUCCUGCAUGUUUGCAGGCUCCCGGCCGCUCCCCAGUCGAUGGGCCCUCAGCGGUGUGUUCUGUUGUGCAGACCAAUUUGGAGUCACCCAACGUGCCGGGGCAAAAUCAAUAUCAGUAUGACUCUGGGGACAGUGACCAGUGUUCCAAACAGCUUUCUAACGAUAGGACCUUUUCACAGUAUCAAUGGCAGAUAAUUGGCACAAAGUUAUGACAAAAUAACUGUGUUUUUUUUAAGGACGACUAUUUUUCAAUCUCGGCAUCAUUGAUUCACUUUAAAUUUAUGAAAUAUGUAGCAGCACAAAUCAUUAAUUGCUUUGAAUGUCUGUCAGAGGAACUUCAUGGCGGUGUUUACAUGUUUACAAUCAUUUAUAUUUAUGGAUAACGGGGAAGAAAUAGACCCAGGUAAGAAUUUGAUCAGAGUAAAAUAUUUUAUGCAUAGUGUGUCACAAUGACUGACGGAGUCUGUCGCACUUGAAGUCGAUCCAUCACUCAAGAGCCCCACUUUGAAUUCAGCAAGAAGAGUCACUGUGCCUUUAAUUUGUAAAUCCUUCUUGCAGGGCACUUAGCUCUGUACAUCUGAAUGUACGUGUGUGUGUGUGUGUGUCUGGUGGGAUUUUAUUUUAUCGUCCAGUGAAGCAGAAAUACGGGAGGCAGUUGGAGAGCUUUGCUGCUGGGAGACAUUUAGAGGAGCUGUGCAGGUUUCUCUUGGGGGGAAAUGGGCACUCGUAGGCAGGUGAUUGCCUGAAUAGCCCUAAACCGUACUUUUAGUUUGUCCCAGUCAAAAGAUGAGUCCUUCCUCUGUGAAAGCAAUUGGUGAAAAGAUGGAGAAAAAUAAGAAAACUCUGGGGGGGAUGGGAGGAGAGGGGGGAGCUUACAAGGCAGCAAAAAACCUUGAGACGGACCCAAGCAAACAUGUUCCUCUUAUUCAGCUGUCGUUGAACAUCUGACAUCACUCAUGUUGGCUGCGACAGUAAUACGCGAGUGGGAACAGAGGGAGAGAAGAGGACAGACUGUACGUUUAUAUGUGAAGGAGCGGUCAGACCUUCACCGCUGAACAGUCCCGAGACGGCGAGAGCAGCUCUGCUGUUUUUCAUCUUUUUGACAGAGAGGCCCGACACUUGUUUUUUUGAGGCAGGGCUGUCAUUAUCAAUAUUCACUGUACGCCGCGGAACAGCGUCGGAGUGAUUGAGUGAGUUGUCGCGGGGAUUCGCAUUCUUCAUCGGCCAUUUAUUUGAAUCACUCCAAACUGCAAUCAACAUUUGAAUGAAAACCGUUUCAAAUAUUGUAACCCUUAAUCAUUUUUAAUUCUCACUGAAUAAUGGAUUUGAUUGUCCCUGUUUGUAGAAGAAAAAGGACACAAAACAAAGCACACAUUAUGUAGAAAUGUGGACACAGUGGGGAUGGUUUUAUAUUAAAUAGAAACGUAAUGUAGAAUUUAACACUUGAAUUAAGGCUGCAUCUUGUGAAUACUGACUCACUACUGCCCGACUUCUGCUUUGCAUUUAGAUGACAAUCUCUAAUGAAAAUCCCUUGGAUCAACAACGGCUGUGUGCCGAAGUUAAACCAAAGAAUCCUUUGUGAUGUUUACUCACUCUUAAAGGCUGGACCACACUUCUCCACAAUCCAGUUUCCCUCAAGUACAGUUGUGAAGGUUAAUGAACUAGUGACCACAUUAUCAGUUCUACGGAGCUCUGUAUUUAAAAUGUUGUGUAGCUUUAAUUGGUUUGUAUCCCUACGGUUGAGUGCACUUAUUGUAAAUCGCUUUGGAUGAAAAUAUCAGCUAAAUGACAUGUAAUGCAAUGCAAUGUAAUUAAUAAUAGUCUUAUAUUUUUCCUAUAAAUAUAGUAAGUAUGUAUAUUGUGUCUAUAUAUAAAUAUAUGCAAAAAGGAAAAUAAUAGAAAUAGAAAUAGAAAUGAAUACACAUACCUUUAUUCAGGUACAUGUAUUCAUGUGAGUUUUCUAUCUUGUUUCUUUUUGUGUCGAUUUUGUGGAGCUACGAUCACAAAGGCUUUACUGAGAAAUGCAUCAUUUUUUCUCAGCUUUUGUAUGUAGGAUGGCAGACUUUGACGAACAUGUUCAAUCAGCAGGUGUCUCUGUUUGCACUGACAUUCAUUUUUUAAAGUUGCGUUCACAUAAUCCAGAGGAUUAUCUGCUCCUGGUGAUGUAAUGACGCGCUCUAAGCUCACAGCAGAAUAAAUCCUUCCGAUUGAAGCCCGCAAAAUCAGUGAGCUUGUUUUUGAUUUUGUGGGACUAUGAGUGGCUACAGUUUAUAUACUGCAGAGUUAUUGCCACAUUUAUUUCGGCCCCACAGUAAGACACGGGCCAUGCAUCAUUCAUGACGAACAGAACAUUGCCAAACGUUGAAAAAAAACCCUCUCCUUGGUUAUUUUCCUCUUCCCUGGAAAGAUAAAGGAAGCUAAUUUCUAUUGCAGCAGCCCCAUUGAGACGUACAAUCUCCAGUAAGAUCAAGGCUCUGCGUUUCUGUAAAAAAGCAUAAUUGUUUCCUUUCAGCAUGUACCCAGCCCACGUUGACCAUUUAUUUCACCACUUCCCUCUCGAAUAGGAAAUUUCGCCUCAGAAAGCACAGGAGGUGUUUCUCAUUUUAUGCUGUGCAGAAACCUGUCUGACAUGGAUUGAAUUUGACGCGUGAAGAAAAGAAUCACAUCUUCUCGGUACUUUCAGCAGGGGUUCCUCUUCUGACACGAGCAUUAAACAAAUCACAAAUGCAUUGGCCUGCUGAAAGUGGACCUCGGCAAGUUAUGUUUUUUCAAUAACAGCAAUCUAACGCUGCACCCUUGCCAUGCCUGUCUGUUUUGAUUGCUUUGAUGGGGAGGGAAAACAACAUGUUUUCAUUUUUCUCAGGAAACGGGCCACAACUUGUUAUAUAU